GAAUGCUGGCAGAUGCUAUUUGGAGAAAAUCCCAGUGACCCAGGACUGGAACACAAAAGAGUUUGGGGCUAACCCCCAGAAAAUCUAGGUCACCACACACUCACCUAGGAGGACUCCAGUCAACUAAUAUCUGGUUAUAAGCUGUUAUUUCCUAAUCUAAGUGGGAUGGAAGGACUCAUCCAUUGGGGAAUGGUUGAUGGAGUAAUAUAUGAAAAUAAUGCAAUAUUAUCAUAUUAUAAGAAAUCAUUAUAGAGAUAAUUACAGAGAAUCCUGGGUAUAUGAACUUAUGGAGAAUGAAUCAAGCAGAACCAUGAGAACAACUUAUGUAAGGACAACAAUAUCACAAAGAAAAACAGCUUUGAAAGACAGCUCUGGUCAAUCCAAUGGCCAACAUGUCUCCAGAGGACCAAUGAUGAAGAAUGUUGCCUUCAUCCUGACAAAAAGGUGAUGGACUCAAGGUGAAAACUGAAACAUAUGUUUUUGGACAUUAUUGAGUGUAAAACCCUCAAGGUCACACUUUAGGAAAUGUGCUUUCCCAGGUGGCAGUGACCCUCUUGGAUAUCCUGGCAGAAAAGAAGAAAGAGAUCCCUUUUCGCUGCUCACAAAAAGCACAUGAGCUAGUUGGGGAAGAAGUUUUGUCCAUGUGAAAUAUUAAGAGAACCAUCCAACAACCAAUGUGUGAUCAAUGGUGUACAAUAUAAGAGGUGUACAAAUGGUUGUACCAAGUCCACAUGUUCUGGGAGGAAAGAACUGGAAGAAAUAACCAAUCCUUUGGUUGAGGUGAGAAACAGCUGGUAUAAUGGAAAGAGAUUUGUAUUUGAUGUCAGAACUCCAACCCAAUCCAAUCUAAUCCAGGAGUGCUUGGGACACAAAGAAAAAGGGGGAAACGGUUCUUGCCCUCAAGAGUUUACCAUGUAAGAAGAUAAUUAUAUAUGUGAUAAUUUGGUGAAGAGGGAGGGAGUCCUUACAAGAACUGGCAGAACUGAUCUGGAACCCAAGACUCCUGACUCCGGUUCCAGAUUUUGUUUUGUUUUUAUUUAUAACACACACAACCGCACUGGACCUCAGUUUCCUCCUAUGGAAAAAUGAAGGUGAUCAUCCCUGUUUUGCCUCUCUACCAGGAUUAUUGGGAAGAUUGAAAUGAGAUAAUGGAUAAAAAUGGCCGGGGGGGGGUGGAUUUUGUAAACUGUAGAGGGUAGCCCAAAUGGGAAGGACUAUUGUUAAGAACAACCCCUUAAGGAAAAGGGGGAAAAUAAUAAACAUUUAUGAAGUA